rnacentral:rRNA from 1 species
UACGUAGGGCGCAAGCGUUGUCCGGAAUUAUUGGGCGUAAAGAGCUCGUAGGCGGCUUGUCACGUCGAUUGUGAAAGCCCGAGGCUUAACCUCGGGUCUGCAGUCGAUACGGGGCUAGCUAGAGUGUGGUAGGGGGAGAUCGGAAUUCCUGGUGUAGCGGUGAAAUGCGCAGAUAUCAGGAGGAACACCGGUGGCGAAGGCGGAUCUCUGGGCCAUUACUGACGCUGAGGAGCGAAAGCGUGGGGAGCGAACAGG